CAAUUUCUACUCAACCCAAAAAUAUUUCUUUUGUCAAGGUCUACAAAUCCCACCUAAAAUGGCUUUUUUCUUACAAACGUCGCUUAUAAUUCCACCCUCCAGUAUUAAUCCAGUACUACAGUUUUCUUAUCAUCUUAUUCUUCUUUUAUCAAGACCUUGUUUGGGUCAUUCCUGAAUUGUUAUCUGAGAGUUUUGACCAAAGCAUUCUCGCGGAAAACGCUGAGCACGUAAUAAUUAAGUUCAUGUCUAAGAAGGUGUUGGUCAAAUCAGAGGAGCAAAAGCAUGUGUAAGUACCUUGGUACACAAUUGUUUCUUUAUUAGGACCUUAAACCACCAUUUCAAAAACAUGCAGUUGAUAAUAGAGGACCGCAUGAAUUUGAGGAGCCAGCAGUGAGGGAUUGCCUGAGAUGCCCGAACAAAGAUCAAGGCGGUCGAAAGAUCACGGUUUGCCGUUCUUGCGGUUGGAGCCGAGGCUGUUGUAUGAGGAACACGAGCCACUGCUCAGCUAACAAGGGAAAUGGACCUCUUAGGAAAACGGUUAUUGAUAUAAUCAACAUAAUACGGAUUUCAUUCUUUGGACAAAAGGCUGAUUCAUCAGCCAACUCCCCCAUCUCGAAUUCCUAGGUGGAUCAGAUAUUUUAUGAAUAUCAAGCUAAAAUAUUAAAACACAUAAAUUUUUUCAUCCUUAAUGGCUUGGAAUUCCAUUCCCAGUAGUAGCAUAGCAGUCUACAAUAUCUGUUAUUUAAGAGAUAUGUCAAUAAAUGUGAAGAAAGAAGAGAUGGUGAUGGUAUUGGAAACGACUGCCUUGGGAAGACAGAGAAGACGGAUCUAAAUAAAGCAUGUUGCAGAAAACCCCUGUUCUAAUGGUUCCACCGUCCUCUAUCCGAGAGCAGCUGGGUUAUUUAUGUGAGCCCGGGUUCCUACGAAUGAAGGUGGCAAUGAUUUGCUCCCUGAGAGACAUGUGAGACUAGCCGAUUGACGAGCUUGACAAAAGCCGAGGAAGACAAGACUAACGAACGGACUUCCGGCAUUUUUCGGAUUUUUUUUUAUUUUCUUAAAUUUAUUUUUCCAACAAUUAAUGACGACCCAAAAUCCCUAUCGCCAGGCCAAAUCCACCAGCCCAAUGGAAGUUUCUCAUGGAUAAGUUGAAAUACAUGCAAGAUCUCAAUCUUUGCCAACUUCAAAGGGAAUUUGGCCAACUUCACUGAGGACUCAGCUAAGUAUGCAAAUAAGGCAAGCUCAUGAUGUGUCUCAUCCCAAAAGUAGUACAGAAUCCCUCAAAUGUGACUCAAAACUGCAGUCUUCCAUUGGUUUGGACAUAAGAUGGAAACCGAAAGUGAAGAAACCACGAAAAGAGUUGCUCACAAACAGUGGCCGAUGAAAUUUGCCUCAUCCUCAUCUCUCAAGGAAAUCCGCUACAUUUUUUGGAACAUCUAGUGUUGGAUUCAUAUGAACUUAAGAACGAGAAAUAAAGCUGAGAUGACGA